UGCCAGCCGCCGCGGUAACACGAACUGCGCAAACGUUAUUCGGAAUCACUGGGCUUAAAGAGUUCGUAGGCGGCCUAGUAGGUGAGGUGUGAAAUCCCUCGGCUCAACCGAGGAAUUGCGCUUCAAACCACUAGGCUUGAGGGAGGCAGAGGUGAGUGGAACUGAUGGUGGAGCGGUGAAAUGCGUUGAUAUCAUCAGGAACACCAGUGGCGAAGGCGACUCACUGGGCCUCUUCUGACGCUGAGGAACGAAAGCUAGGGGAGCGAACGGGAUUAGAUA
rnacentral:rRNA from 1 species